rnacentral:tRNA from 2 species
GGGCGCGUAGCUCAGUGGGAGAGCGUUCCGUUCACACCGGAGAGGUCGCUGGUUCAAUCCCAGCCGCGCCCACCA